CAUAUUUCUGAAAUUUUAUACUCCAAUUCUACUAUUGCUGUGCAUCUUAACAACAAAUUAUUUUUUAUACGUACAGAGCAAUUGCCUUUACUCCAAAGGACUCUGUGAUCAACUGUUUCACAUUAUAAAACAUUUCAGGACAUCUAAACAUUAGAUAUAUUACAAUUGGCAGCACAUAUUUCUCAGGUGCUGCUUGCCAGGCAUGGUACUAAGGGCUAGACUUCUGAGUGGUACAUCCCACUGGGAUGAAAUUAUUUUAGUUUACUUUUUAUAUUUUUCCAAAAUUGUGAUGAAUUUAAUGAUUCAGCUUUCUUUUCUGGAAACAAAAUCAGCGCUCUGGUUUAGAAAGCAUGGUAAAUUUGGUAGGGAGCUUAAAAUGGCUAAAUACAAAUCCCAGGAUCUCAGUCUUUCUGGUUAAGAGAAAAUUGAUACAGUUCUUAUCACUACAGACACUAGACAUAGACCAAUUAAAGUCCAUACUCUGUAAUACAGAAAAAUCAGAGUCAUUGUCAUCUGAGGACCUAGCCACAAAGGGGCCUAGCACAACACUUCUCUGCUGAUUCUUCUUUUUAGAGUUAAUUUUUGGCUAUUAUAACUGAACAAGCAAAGCACAGCCCCAUUUUUCUUCCCUUUCUUGUGAGACUCUCAGUACCAGGAAUUAGAGUAUGCUGUGGACAUCCUGAAGGGGAGUCCAACGAUGGAGUUGUCGGCAGAGUGAG